rnacentral:lncRNA from 1 species
GCACUAAUAUAAAAUAUUUUCAUUUCAAAUGAUUUAAGUUUAUUACAACAAAUGUCUCUCAAAGGUAUUAAUUCGAAGUACCCCCGAAGAAAACAGUACGCAUUUCAUGCGGUCCAUAAUUUCCGACGUCCGUUACCCUAUACGAUAAGCUAGUCGAAAACGUUUCACAUCCCGACGGGUUGAGAUCGGUCUCGUGAUUCUCAUUUAUGAUCCUAAUGCUAGAGGCGUAACAAUCGUCUAAUACAUUAAGGCUUCGAAUUGGUCCCCCGCCCAUUUGCGGGGGAGCAGUUCCCGGAGGGCUGUAAACUUCUCCUCCCCAUUCUAUAUAAUUUGCGGAAUCCGCUAACCCAGUGAAUAUUUUUUGCGGCCAGAUUCCAACGGUAAAAUUUCCACUUCCCACGUUGAAAACCCAGUCCCCAUUUUUAG